rnacentral:lncRNA from 1 species
AGGCAGGUGUUCUACCACUGAGCUAGCCCUUAACUCAGUCAUCUUCUCUCCAUAGGAUUAUUUAAGGCACUCUCAAGCAUUAAGGGCUAUCUUAACAACACAUUUUGCAUAAACUUAGGAGAAGUUGGUGUAUUCAGACAAGUCUGGAGAGUUCCUUGCCUUCUGGAAAGUUCUGAUCCUCACUUGGCUCCCAGGGACUAUGCCCAGCCUUUCCAUGAGAGAGUACAGAGGUCUCUUCCUCAAAUGUUCCGUUACCUGGAACCCUGCUCGGCCUUUGUCCUGGUCCCCCAUCAGGGUUUGAUAGAAGAAAGGACUUUUGUGCUGUAUUUAUGGGCUGCCGAGCUGUAGGGGGUGGCAGUGGCCUGAGCCUCCUACUAGAACCUGUCCUGGAAAGGACAGACUGAUUUCAGCAGGUGCCUUGAAGACUAAACCCCUCUUAGCUUAGAAUCUCUGGAGACUGUAGACCCCUCCCCAUAUAUGUUGUACCCUUCCUGUGUUCUUUGGACCAGAGUGUCGUGUUACCCAGAGAUCUUCAUCUCUCAUGGCUUGUCUAUCAUCCGUAGACCCCUCACAUCUGCAUCCCUUUGCAUCGGCAGCCACUCAAAACCUGCCUCUCCACUUCGACCAGCUUCUCGUUGAGUUUCCAACUCCCCCACCCCACCCUCCAAUCCCCCAGCUCAGGUUUUCUAUCUGGGGAAACCACUGAAAGUGAAUGAAAGAUUGGGUCCUUAAACUGCAGUGAGUGAACGUCCUCUUUUCCAAAUCCAAAAUUCUAUGCCUGACUGCAUGGGAGAGGUCACAUUCAAAACAUGGAUACACUACAAACAAAAUUACCCUUAGGUCAUGUGUACAACAUAUGCAGAAACAUAAGUGGAUCUGUGUUUAGAUAUAAACCCCAUCCCCAAGAUAGCUGUAUUAAGGAUGUUUGUAUUGGUAGUUCAAGAUUUCAACCCACCCAGACAGAGGCUCGUUUUAGCUAGGAUAUGCAACCUCCAGUGGACUGAACCAGGAUGAGUGUCUAGCAUCCAGUCCAGCUCCUGUCUGUUAGGUAUGUGGACAAGCUUCUUCCCACAUCUCUGCCCCGAGGCUUUGUCUCUGGGCUGACAGUACUGCUGGGGAGAGCUUAGUGGGGCUAGUAUCAGAGACAAGCAAAGGAGACUGUUUCAUGCACUGACUUAUCUCUUCCUGCUGGGUAAAGGCUUGGUUACUGUGUUCUUUCAUGCUUCGAAGUGAUUCCUGAGGUUUUCUCACACCUACCUUCUUCCUCUAGGUGGGGUAAUUCUUUUCUAAAGGUGGUAGGGGAUUUCUGGGGGUGGUCCAGAUUGGUCAAAUGUGUGUAGCAGGUCAUGGGGAAGGGGGCCAUGGAAACCCAAGUUGUCAUAAUGCCAUGUUUUUGUACCUGAAAUAAAGCAUAUUUUGCACUUGUAAAUGAGAAAUCUGUAUGUGGGCUCUGUGCUGGGUCAGAAUGCAAAUAAAACCAUUUGUACUAAA